UUUGCCCAACAUUUCGCCAGGUAAAACAGAAAUUCAAACCAUUGUGAAGUAGGAUUGCACAGAAUCUUCAAUUAUUUCUAAUAAAUAACUAGCUGACUUUGAGUAAAGAACCAGUUAUGCACACACUUACACCUGUUAUCCUCGUUUGUUUAUGUGCAUAUGUAAUUGGUUUAUAUUUACCUUGUUUGACUAAUGAGUCAAAGAAAGAAUUGGACGACUCAAGAACAGCUCUGACCGCUCUGGAAACAUAUCUUGGAAGUACAGUAAAUACAAUUGAGAGCGACAUCCAGAAAACUCUCAAUACCUUAAAGAGUCAUUUAGGAACGUUAAAAAGUAAUGUUGGGAGCAAAGUAAAGAAUCUUGAUGGUGACCUUAAGGUUUUGAUGGGAGAUUUCAAAAAAAAGAAGUGGUUGAAACAUAACGGACACUGUUAUUACUAUUCUAACGAAAAUAGUGAUUGGUUUUCAGCAGAGCGUCGAUGCAGAGAAAUUGGUGGAUACAUCGUAAAAGUAGAUAAUUCUUCCGAAAACACAUGGAUUUCUGAUAACAAACCAAAAAAAAAUGUUCAUUACUGGAUCGGAUUGACAGACCUGAAGGAAGGAGAUUGGCGUUGGACUUUCGAUCAGUCACGUGCCACGUACAAGCCAUGGGGAAGUGGCUAUGGUGCAAGAGGAACUUCAUUGAAUUGCGGUGUUUACAAUUAUGGAUCUAGUAGUUUCAGACUUUGGUUUGAUUACUAUUGUUGGACGAAAUAUCACUAUAUCUGCGAAAGUAACUUUUGUUUUUAAAGAUUAGAAAGUAGAGGUAGAGAUGCCAUAUCUAGUCUGAUUAAAAUUUGCUUGUGAAA